UACGUAGGGGGCAAGCGUUGUCCGGAUUUAUUGGGCGUAAAGAGCGUGUAGGCGGCUUGGUAGGUCCGCUGUGAAAACUCGAGGCUCAACCUCGAGAUGUCGGCGGAAACCACUUGGCUAGAGUCCGGAAGAGGAGAGUGGAAUUCCCGGUGUAGCGGUGAAAUGCGCAGAUAUCAGGAGGAACACCGAUGGCGAAGGCAGGUCUCUGGGCCACUACUGACGCUGAGAAGCGAAAGCAUGGGGAGCGAACAGG
rnacentral:rRNA from 1 species